rnacentral:rRNA from 1 species
CUAGUAAUACGCGGAUCAGCAUGCCGCGGUGAAUACGUUCCCGGGCCUUGUACACACCGCCCGUCACACCAUGAGAGUCGAUAACACCCGAAGCCUGUAGUCUAACCGCAAGGAGGACGCAGUCGAAGGUGGGAUUGAUAAUUAGGGUGAAGUCGUAACAAGGUAUC